GUCGAGCGAGAAGCCGGGGCAACUCGGCGAGUACAGCGGCGGAAGGGUGCGUAAUACAUGGAUAACGUACCCCCUAGUUAGGGAUAACCCUCCGAAAGGUGGGCUAAUACCGGAUAAUGGCAGCGAGUGGCAUCGCUUGCUGCUUAAAGACGCAAGUCACUAGGGGAGCGGUCCAUGGCCUAUCAGCUAGUUGGCGGGGUAACGGCCCACCAAGGCGAUGACGGGUAGCCGGACUGAGAGGUUGAACGGCCACACGGGAACUGAGACACGGUCCCGACAUCUACGGAUGGCAGCAGUAGGGAAUCUUGCGCAAUGGGCGAAAGCCUGACGCAGCGACACCGCGUGGGGGAUGAAGGCCUUCGGGUUGUAAACCCCUUUCAUGAGGGAAGAACACUGACCUAACCUCAGGAAGAAGCACCGGCUAACUCCGUGCCAGCAGCUGCGGUAAUACGGAGAGUGCAAACGUUGUUCGGAUUCACUGGGCGUAAAGGGCACGUAGGCGGCUCAGCAAAUCGGUCGUGGAAUCCCGACGCUUACCGUCGGAACGGCGGCCGAAAAUACUGGGCUCGAGGGCGUGAGGGGUCACUGGAACUCCUGGUGAAGCGGUGAAAUGCGUAGAUAUCAGGAGGAACGCCGGAGGCGAAAGCGAGUGACUGGCGCGUUCCUGACGCUGAGGUGCGAAAGCUAGGGGAGCAAACAGGAUUAGAUACCCUGGUAGUCCUAGCCGUAAACGAUGGACACUGAGUGGAGGAGGGCUUGCCCUUCUCUGCUGCAGCUAACGCGUUAAGUGUCCCGCCUGGGGAGUACGGCCGCAAGGUUAAACUCAAGGAAUUGACGGGGGCUCGCACAAGCGGUGGAGCAUGUGGUUCAAUUCGAUGCAACGCGAAGAACCUUACCCGGGCUUGAAGUGUAGUGGUA
rnacentral:rRNA from 1 species